rnacentral:rRNA from 1 species
AGUGAACGCUGGCGGUAGGCCUAACACAUGCAAGUCGAACGGCAGCACAGUAAGAGCUUGCUCUUACCGGUGGCGAGUGGCGGACGGGUGAGGAAUACAUCGGAAUCUACUUUUUCGUGGGGGAUAACGUAGGGAAACUUACGCUAAUACCGCAUACGACCUACGGGUGAAAGCAGGGGAUCUUCGCACCUUGCGCGAUUGAAUGAGCCGAUGUCGGAUUAGCUAGUUGGCGGGGUAAAGGCCCACCAAGGCGACGAUCCGUAGCUGGUCUGAGAGGAUGAUCAGCCACACUGGAACUGAGACACGGUCCAGACUCCUACGGGAGGCAGCAGUGGGGAAUAUUGGGCAAUGGGCGCAAGCCUGAUCCAGCCAUACCGCGUGGGUGAAGAAGGCCUUCGGGUUGUAAAGCCCUUUUGUUGGGAAAGAAAAGCAGCAGGUUAAUACCCCGCUGUUCUGACGGUACCCAAUGAAUAAGCACCGGCUAACUUCGUG